UUAUAUGAUGAACACUUAUUCACACUGUUUGAUCUAUGUACUCUGUACAUGGAAAUGAACAUUAAACACAAAAUUCUGAUUUAAUGAGGUUGGUA
rnacentral:snoRNA from 1 species